UUAGCCAAGUGGUUAGCGCACAUGGCUCUUGAGCCGUAGGUCCCGGGUUCAAUUCCCG
rnacentral:tRNA from 16 species